rnacentral:lncRNA from 1 species
GUGAGAGCGGGCAGGGCGCGCCUGCGCGUAACCUCGUUUUGGGCCAGGAACGAGAGACGGAACUACGCGGGGGUCGGGGAGGGGGGCAGAAGGGAGCGGCGAUUAUCGCCGCACGGGUUCGGUGAGGGAGCGGCGCGAGGUGUGGAGAGGCGGGCGCAGGGCCCGGUUGGCGCGAGGGGUGACGGUUGGGGCCGGCCGGGUGACGUUGGAGCGACGCAGGGCGGGGGACGGCGAGCCGCGAGGCCGCCACGCGGGAGAGGCCGCCAGGCGGCCACGCCGGGGCGAGGGCCGGGGGCCAGAUCGGCCCAGACAGGGCAAAGGCUCCUGAACUGUUGAGGACCGGCGCUGUGCGGCCACGUGAGGUGGGGGAGGGGGCUGUUCGGUGAGAGAGCAUGUGGAGGGGGUUGGCGGCCGGCGGGGGGAGGGGAGACGGCAUGGUCCUGGCCUGGCGCAGCUUUGGGGCAGGGGCGGCCGUAGCACCGGAAGUGUUCCUUAUUGGAGGCUGCCCUCGGGGUCCGAGGCCAUGCGGCCGAACACGGACCGGGGCCGCAUGGCAGCACGGGGACCCCUCCCCCCUGGCCCGGGCCACCGGAAGCCCCGGGCGACCACAUGGUGGGCGCGAGCCGGCAACCCCCAGCGCCUGGAGGUCUGGCCUUUUUUGGGUUAUUACGGAGCCUUGGAUAUUGGUGUGCGGGAGAGACCCUACCCUUGGGUCUCAAUCAUCCCGCAGGGCCCGUUGCAGGCAUAUGUUAGUGCUCCCCAGCCUCAUGGGCCUCUGGAGCUCAUCCCUCAGCCUUCAUGUGAAGUGAGACGUCCAGCCAGAUUUGGAAUCGAAGCCUCUUAAAAUGGCAGAUGAUUUGGACUUCGAGACAGGAGAUGCAGGGGCCUCAGCCACCUUCCCAAUGCAGUGCUCAGCAUUACGUAAGAAUGGUUUUGUGGUGCUCAAGGGCCGGCCAUGUAAGAUCGUCGAGAUGUCUACUUCGAAGACUGGCAAGCAUGGCCAUGCCAAGGUCCAUCUGGUUGGUAUUGAUAUUUUUACUGGGAAGAAAUAUGAAGAUAUCUGCCCGUCGACUCAUAACAUGGAUGUCCCCAACAUCAAAAGGAAUGAUUUCCAGCUGAUUGGCAUCCAGGAUGGGUACCUAUCCCUGCUCCAGGACAGUGGGGAGGUACGAGAGGACCUUCGUCUGCCUGAGGGAGACCUUGGCAAGGAGAUUGAGCAGAAGUAUGACUGUGGAGAAGAGAUCCUGAUCACAGUGCUGUCCGCCAUGACAGAGGAGGCAGCUGUUGCAAUCAAGGCCAUGGCAAAAUAACUGGCUUCCAGGGUGGCGGUGGUGGCAGCAGUGAUCCAUGAGCCUACAGAGGCCCCUCCCCCAGCUCUGGC